rnacentral:pre_miRNA from 1 species
ACAACAUUCGGACCGUCGGUCUACCGAGCAAUAUCACCCGCUCGUUGGAAGAUCUUCCCUUUGUCGU